UACGUAGGGAGCAAGCGUUGUCCGGAAUCAUUGGGCGUAAAGCGCGCGUAGGUGGCCUCAUAAGUCCGCUGUGAAAGUCAAAGGCUCAACCUUUGAAAGCCGGUGGAUACUGUGAGGCUAGAGUACGGAAGAGGCGAGUGGAAUUCCUGGUGUAGCGGUGGAAUGCGCAGAUAUCAGGAGGAACACCAGUGGCGAAGGCGACUUCCUGGCCUGUUCUUGACGCUGAGGCGCGAAAGCUAGGGGAGCAAACGGG
rnacentral:rRNA from 1 species